GCCGCAGCAAGGUGCUCGGUGCUCGCUUCCGCCGCGCGUUCCCCGCGGUGACAGACGGAUAUGGCGGCGGACGGUAUCCCGGAGUGGGUCACUGCAUUGCCCGGGGCCUGGGGUUACGGUGUGACUCGGGGUGGCCGAGUCUUUUUUAUCAAUGAAGAAGCAAAAAGCACCACCUGGUUGCACCCGGUCACUGGGGAGGCUGUGCUUACUGGACACAGGAAGACUCCAGAUUUACCCACGGGAUGGGAGGAGGGCUUCACGUUUGAAGGUGCCAGAUACUACUUAAAGUAAGGAAACGGCGCUUGUAUGGCUCUGAGAUUCUGUUGGAGAAUAAUGUGUGUGUUUUUAUUUAGGAGAAUGUUAACAUAAGGAUUUAACUAUUUUGUUACCAGUUUGGCAUGCACACAGGGUGCAACAAUAUGCCGAACUUCUUUCUGGGAGCCGAGGGAUUGAAGAACAUGUUUUUGUCCUUCAGUGAAACCUGAGAUGUAAAGAAUUCUGUUAGGAUUUGUGCUUCUUGUCUGUAUCGAUUCUGUUUGCCGUUUUAGGUCCAUUUUUUGUAUUAUGUUCAAUAAAGCUGCUUUGAGUGUUUUUGCAUCAGAGUCCUGCUCCAGGCCUCACAACUGUAAUUCUGGUUUUGUGUUUAGUGACGGGUAUAACUAAUAGUGCCAGUUGCUGAAAUAUUUCUAUCUUCGGUUCUGUUUAUAUGAUUAAUAUUUUGUAUCUGUCCUGUUUUCCCAACUUGCUUUCUGUGUUAUGUUCCUGUUGGGCUGCAUAGUGAUGGACAAUUAAGGAGUUGCUCCUGCACUGUUCUGUUUACUUUAGUGUGAAGGCUUCUCUUACUGCGUUGUAUAAACAUACAGGGAUGGGAUAUGGUAAUUUGCCAGGGAAAACUGCCCUUCCUAUCACACCAGCUGCCUGCAGAGCUGACCUGGCCUGGAGUAAAUGUGCUUUUAUUUGUGAUGACCAGGGGAGCUCUAUUUAUGAUAGAAUAAGAUUUGACAUUUUUGGCAAUAUUUCUCCUUGUAAUUGUUUCAUAUUGUUUUAGUGUAAAACAUAUUUGUAUAAAACGUAAUGUGCAGCUCCGAUAUGUUUGUGAUACACAGGGAUGUAACAUGUAGUAGUACGGAGAGAGAGGCAUCAGGAAGGGAUAUAACAUGUAGUAGUACGGAGAGAGAGAGGCAUGAGAAAGGGAUAUAACAUGUAGUAGUACUGAGAGAGAGGCAUGAGGAAGGGAUAUAACAUGUAGUAGUACUGAGAGAGAGGCAUGAGGAGGGGAUAUAACAUAUAGUAGUACUGAGAGAGAGGCAUGAGGAAGGGAUAUAACAUGUAGUAGUACUGAGAGAGAGGCAUGAGGAAGGGAUAUAACAUAUAGUAGUACUGAGAGAGAGACAUGAGGAAGGGAUAUAACAUGUAGUAGUACUGAGAGAGAGAGGCAUGAGGAAGGGAUAUAACAUGUAGUAGUACUGAGAGAGAGGCAUAUUUGUAUAAAACGUAAUGUGCAGCUCCGAUAUGUUUGUGAUACACAGGGAUGUAACAUGUAGUAGUACGGAGAGUGAGGCAUCAGGAAGGGAUAUAACAUGUAAUAGUACUGAUAGAGAGAGAGGCAUGAGAAAGGGAUAUAACAUGUAGUAGUACUGAGAGAGAGGCAUGAGGAAGGGAUAUAACAUGUAGUAGUACUGAGAGAGAGGCAUGAGGAAGGGAUAUAACAUAUAGUAGUACUGAGAGAGAGGCAUGAGGAAGGGAUAUAACUUGUAGUAGUACUGAGAGAGAGGCAUGAGGAAGGGAUAUAACAUGUAGUAGUACUGAGAGAGAGGCAUGAGCAAGGGAUAUAACAUAUAGUAGUACUGAGAGAGAGGCAUGAGGAAGGGAUAUAACAUGUAGUAGUACUGAGAGAGAGGCAUGAGGAAGGGAUAUAACAUGUAGUAGUACUGAGAGAGAGGCAUGAGGAAGGGAUAUAACAUGUAGUAGUACUGAGAGAGAGGCAUGAGGAAGGGAUAUAACAUGUAGUAGUACUGAGAGAGAGGCAUGAGGAAGGGAUAUAACAUGUAGUAGUACUGAGAGAGAGGCAUGAGGAAGGGAUAUAACAUGUAGUAGUACUGAGAGAGAGACAUGAGGAAGGGAUAUAACAUGUAGUAGUACUGAGAGAGAGAGAGAGAGAGAGAGAGAGAGGCAUGAGGAAGGGAUAUAACAUGUAGUAGUACUGAGAGAGAGGCAUGAGGAAGGGAUAUAACAUGUAGUAGUACUGAGAGAGAGGCAUGAGGAAGGGAUAUAACAUGUAGUAGUACUGAGAGAGAGGCAUGAGGAAGGGAUAUAACAUGUAGUAGUACUGAGAGAGAGGCAUGAGGAAGGGAUAUAACAUGUAGUAGUACUGAGAGAGAGACAUGAGGAAGGGAUAUAACAUGUAGUAGUACUGAGAGAGAGAGAGGCAUGAGGAACUGAUAUAACAUGUAGUAGUACUGAGAGAGAGGCAUAUUUGUAUAAAACGUAAUGUGCAGCUCCGAUAUGUUUGUGAUACACAGGGAUGUAACAUGUAGUAGUACGGAGAAAGAGGCAUCAGGAAGGGAUAUAACAUGUACUGAUAGAGAGAGAGGCAUGAGAAAGGGAUAUAACAUGUAGUAGUACUGAGAGAGAGGCAUGAGGAAGGGAUAUAACAUGUAGUAGUACUGAGAGAGAGACAUGAGGAAGGGAUAUAACAUAUAGUAGUACUGAGAGAGAGAGAGAGAGAGAGGCAUGAGGAAGGGAUAUAACAUGUAGUAGUAAGGAGAGAGAGGCAUGAGGAAGGGAUAUAACAUGUAGUAGUAAGGAGAGAGAGGCAUGAGGAAGGGAUAUAACGUGUAGUAGUACUGAGAGAGAGGCAUGAGGAAGGGAUAUAACAUGUAGUAGUACUGAGAGAGAGGCAUAUUUGUAUAAAACGUAAUGUGCAGCUCCGAUAUGUUUGUGAUACACAGGGAUGUAACAUGUAGUAGUACGGAUAGAGAGGCAUCAGGAAGGGAUAUAACAUGUAGUAGUACUGAGAGAGAGAGACAUGAGGAAGGGAUAUAACAUAUAGUAGUACUGAGAGAGAGAGAGAGAGAGAGAGAGGCAUGCGAAAGGGAUAUAACAUGUAGUAGUACUGAGAGAGAGGCAUGAGGAAGGGAUAUAACAUGUAGUAGUACUGAGAGAGAGGCAUGAGGAAGGGAUAUAACAUGUAGUAGUACUGAGAGAGAGGCAUAUUUGUAUAAAACGUAAUGUGCAGCUCCGAUAUGUUUGUGAUACACAGGGAUGUAACAUGUAGUAGUACGGAUAGAGAGGCAUCAGGAAGGGAUAUAACAUGUAGUAGUACUGAGAGAGAGAGGCAUGAGAAAGGGAUAUAAGAUGUAGUAGUACUGAGAGAGAGGCAUGAGGAAGGGAUAUAACAUGUAGUAGUACGGAGAGAGAGGCAUGAGGAAGGGAUAUAACAUAUAGUAGUACUGAGAGAGAGGCAUGAGGAAGGGAAUAUAACAUGUAGUAGUACUGAGAGAGAGGCAUGAGGAAGGGAUAUAACAUGUAGUAGUACUGAGAGAGAGGCAUGAGGAAGGGAUAUAACGUGUAGUAGUACUGAGAGAGAGAGGCAUGAGGAAGGGAUAUAACAUAUAGUAGUACUGAGAGAGAGAGAGAGAGAGAGGCAUGAGUGAGGGAUAUAACGUGUAGUAGUACUGAGAGAGAGAGGCAUGAGGAAGGGAUAUAACAUAUAGUAGUACUGAGAGGAGGCAUGAGGAAGGGAUAUAACAUAUAGUAGUACUGAGAGAGAGAGGCAUGAGGAAGGGAUAAAACAUAUAGUAGUACUGAGAGAGAGAGAGGCAUGAGGAAGGGAUAUAACAUAUAGUAGUACUGAGAGAGAGAGGCAUGAGGAAGGGAUAUAACAUGUAGUACUGAGAGAGAGAGAGGCAUGAGGAAGGGAUAUAACAUGUUGUAGUACUGAGAGAGAGGCAUGAGGAAGGGAUAUAACAUGUAGUAGUACUGAGAGAGAGAGGCAUGAGGAAGGGAUAUAAUGUGUAGUAGUACUGAGAGUGAGAGGCAUGAGGAAGGGAUAUAACAUGUAGUAGUACUGAGAGAGAGAGGUAUGAGGAAGGGAUAUAACAUGUAGUAGUACUCAGAGAGAGGCAUGAGGAAGGGAUAUAACAUAUAGUAGUACUGAGAGAGAGAGGCAUGAGGAAGGGAUAUAACAUGUAGUAGUACUGAGAGAGAGAGAGAGAGAGAGGCAUGAGAAAGGGAUAUAACAUAUAGUAGUACUGAGAGAGAGAGGCAUGAGGAAGAGAUAUAACAUAUAGUAGUACUGAGAGAGAGAGUAGUAGUACUGAGAGAGAGAGGCAUGAGGAAGGGAUAUAACGUAGUACUGAGAGAGAGAGGCAUGAGGAAGGGAUAUAACAUGUUGUAGUACUGAGAGAGAGGCAUGAGGAAGGGAUAUAACAUGUAGUAGUACUGAGAGAGAGAGAGGCAUGAGGAAGGAAUAUAAAAUGUAGUAGUACUGAGAGAGAGAGGCAUGAGGAAGGGAUAUAAUGUGUAGUAGUACUGAGAGUGAGAGGUAUGAGGAAGGGAUAUAACAUAUAGUAGUACUGAGAGAGAGAGAGAGAGGCAUGAGGAAGGGAUAUAACAUGUAGUAGUGCUGAGAGAGGCAUGAGGAAGGGAUAUAACAUGUAGUAGUACUGAGAGAGAGAGAGAGAGAGAGGCAUGAGUAAGGGAUAUACCAUGUAGUAGUACUGAGAGAGAGAGGCAUGAGGAAGGGAUAUAACAUGUAGUAGUACUGAGAGAGAUGCAUGAGGAAGGGAUAUGACGUAGUUGUACUGAGAGAGAGAGGCAUGAGGAAGGGAUAUAACAUGUAGUAGUACUGAGAGAGAGAGAGAGGCAUGAGUAAGGGAUAUAACGUGUAGUAGUACUGAGAGAGAGAGGCAUGAGGAAGGGAUAUAACAUGUAGUAGUACUGAGAGGCAUGAGGAAGGGAUAUAACAUGUAGUAGUACUCAGAGAGAGAGAGGCAUGAGGAAGGGAUAUAACAUGUAGUAGUACUGAGAGAGAGGCAUGAGGAAGGGAUAUAACAUGUAGUAGUACUGAGAGAGAGGCAUGAGGAAGGGAUAUAACAUGUAGUAGUAACUGAGAGAGAGACAUAAGGAAGGGAUAUAACAUGUAGUAGUACUGAGAGUACUAAUAACAGUAUUAGUGACUAGUGAGGUUUUAUUGUCUAAUAACAGUAUUAGUGACUAGUGAGGUUUUAUUGUCUAUUAACCGUAUUAGUAAAUAGUGAUGUUUUAUUGUCUAAUAACCGUAUUAGUGAAUAGUGAUAACAUAUAGUAGUACUGAGAGAGAGGCAUGAGGAAGGGAUAUAACUUGUAGUAGUACUGAGAGAGAGGCAUGAGGAAGGGAUAUAACAUGUAGUAGUACUGAGAGAGAGGCAUGAGCAAGGGAUAUAACAUAUAGUAGUACUGAGAGAGAGGCAUGAGGAAGGGAUAUAACAUGUAGUAGUACUGAGAGAGAGGCAUGAGGAAGGGAUAUAACAUGUAGUAGUACUGAGAGAGAGGCAUGAGGAAGGGAUAUAACAUGUAGUAGUACUGAGAGAGAGGCAUGAGGAAGGGAUAUAACAUGUAGUAGUACUGAGAGAGAGGCAUGAGGAAGGGAUAUAACAUGUAGUAGUACUGAGAGAGAGGCAUGAGGAAGGGAUAUAACAUGUAGUAGUACUGAGAGAGAGACAUGAGGAAGGGAUAUAACAUGUAGUAGUACUGAGAGAGAGAGAGAGAGAGAGAGAGAGGCAUGAGGAAGGGAUAUAACAUGUAGUAGUACUGAGAGAGAGGCAUGAGGAAGGGAUAUAACAUGUAGUAGUACUGAGAGAGAGGCAUGAGGAAGGGAUAUAACAUGUAGUAGUACUGAGAGAGAGGCAUGAGGAAGGGAUAUAACAUGUAGUAGUACUGAGAGAGAGGCAUGAGGAAGGGAUAUAACAUGUAGUAGUACUGAGAGAGAGACAUGAGGAAGGGAUAUAACAUGUAGUAGUACUGAGAGAGAGAGAGGCAUGAGGAACUGAUAUAACAUGUAGUAGUACUGAGAGAGAGGCAUAUUUGUAUAAAACGUAAUGUGCAGCUCCGAUAUGUUUGUGAUACACAGGGAUGUAACAUGUAGUAGUACGGAGAAAGAGGCAUCAGGAAGGGAUAUAACAUGUACUGAUAGAGAGAGAGGCAUGAGAAAGGGAUAUAACAUGUAGUAGUACUGAGAGAGAGGCAUGAGGAAGGGAUAUAACAUGUAGUAGUACUGAGAGAGAGACAUGAGGAAGGGAUAUAACAUAUAGUAGUACUGAGAGAGAGAGAGAGAGAGAGGCAUGAGGAAGGGAUAUAACAUGUAGUAGUAAGGAGAGAGAGGCAUGAGGAAGGGAUAUAACAUGUAGUAGUAAGGAGAGAGAGGCAUGAGGAAGGGAUAUAACGUGUAGUAGUACUGAGAGAGAGGCAUGAGGAAGGGAUAUAACAUGUAGUAGUACUGAGAGAGAGGCAUAUUUGUAUAAAACGUAAUGUGCAGCUCCGAUAUGUUUGUGAUACACAGGGAUGUAACAUGUAGUAGUACGGAUAGAGAGGCAUCAGGAAGGGAUAUAACAUGUAGUAGUACUGAGAGAGAGAGACAUGAGGAAGGGAUAUAACAUAUAGUAGUACUGAGAGAGAGAGAGAGAGAGAGAGAGAGGCAUGCGAAAGGGAUAUAACAUGUAGUAGUACUGAGAGAGAGGCAUGAGGAAGGGAUAUAACAUGUAGUAGUACUGAGAGAGAGGCAUGAGGAAGGGAUAUAACAUGUAGUAGUACUGAGAGAGAGGCAUAUUUGUAUAAAACGUAAUGUGCAGCUCCGAUAUGUUUGUGAUACACAGGGAUGUAACAUGUAGUAGUACGGAUAGAGAGGCAUCAGGAAGGGAUAUAACAUGUAGUAGUACUGAGAGAGAGAGGCAUGAGAAAGGGAUAUAAGAUGUAGUAGUACUGAGAGAGAGGCAUGAGGAAGGGAUAUAACAUGUAGUAGUACGGAGAGAGAGGCAUGAGGAAGGGAUAUAACAUAUAGUAGUACUGAGAGAGAGGCAUGAGGAAGGGAAUAUAACAUGUAGUAGUACUGAGAGAGAGGCAUGAGGAAGGGAUAUAACAUGUAGUAGUACUGAGAGAGAGGCAUGAGGAAGGGAUAUAACGUGUAGUAGUACUGAGAGAGAGAGGCAUGAGGAAGGGAUAUAACAUAUAGUAGUACUGAGAGAGAGAGAGAGAGAGAGGCAUGAGUGAGGGAUAUAACGUGUAGUAGUACUGAGAGAGAGAGGCAUGAGGAAGGGAUAUAACAUAUAGUAGUACUGAGAGGAGGCAUGAGGAAGGGAUAUAACAUAUAGUAGUACUGAGAGAGAGAGGCAUGAGGAAGGGAUAAAACAUAUAGUAGUACUGAGAGAGAGAGAGGCAUGAGGAAGGGAUAUAACAUAUAGUAGUACUGAGAGAGAGAGGCAUGAGGAAGGGAUAUAACAUGUAGUACUGAGAGAGAGAGAGGCAUGAGGAAGGGAUAUAACAUGUUGUAGUACUGAGAGAGAGGCAUGAGGAAGGGAUAUAACAUGUAGUAGUACUGAGAGAGAGAGGCAUGAGGAAGGGAUAUAAUGUGUAGUAGUACUGAGAGUGAGAGGCAUGAGGAAGGGAUAUAACAUGUAGUAGUACUGAGAGAGAGAGGCAUGAGGAAGGGAUAUAACAUGUUGUAGUACUGAGAGAGAGGCAUGAGGAAGGGAUAUAACAUGUAGUAGUACUGAGAGAGAGAGAGGCAUGAGGAA